rnacentral:rRNA from 1 species
GGUUAAGCGACUAAGCGUACACGGUGGAUGCCCUGGCAGUCAGAGGCGAUGAAGGACGUGCUAAUCUGCGAAAAGCGUCGGUAAGGUGAUAUGAACCGUUAUAACCGGCGAUGUCCGAAUGGGGAAACCCAGUGCAAUUCGUUGCACUAUCGUUAACUGAAUACAUAGGUUAACGAGGCGAACCGGGGGAACUGAAACAUCUAAGUACCCCGAGGAAAAGAAAUCAACCGAGAUUCCCCCAGUAGCGGCGAGCGAACGGGGAGCAGCCCAGAGUCUGAAUCAGCUUGUGUGUUAGUGGAACGGUCUGGAAAGUCCGACGGUACAGGGUGAUAGUCCCGUACACCAAAAUGCACAGGCUGUGAACUCGAAGAGUAGGGCGGGACACGUGGUAUCCUGUCUGAAUAUGGGGGGACCAUCCUCCAAGGCUAAAUACUCCUGACUGACCGAUAGUGAACCAGUACCGUGAGGGAAAGGCGAAAAGAACCCCGGCGAGGGGAGUGAAAAGAACCUGAAACCGUGUACGUACAAGCAGUGGGAGCACCUUCGGGUGUGACUGCGUACCUUUGUAUAAUGGGUCAGCGACUUAUAUUCUGUAGCAAGGUUAACCGUAUAGGGGAGCCGCAGGGAAACCGAGUCUUAACUGGGCGUUAAGUUGCAGGGUAUAGACCCGAAACCCGGUGAUCUAGCCAUGGGCAGGUUGAAGGUUGGGUAACACUAACUGGAGGACCGAACCGACUAAUGUUGAAAAAUUAGCGGAUGACUUGUGGCUGGGGGUGAAAGGCCAAUCAAACCGGGAGAUAGCUGGUUCUCCCCGAAAGCUAUUUAGGUAGCGCCUCGUGAAUUCAUCUUCGGGGGUAGAGCACUGUUUCGGCUAGGGGGUCAUCCCGACUUACCAACCCGAUGCAAACUACGAAUACCGAAGAAUGUUAUCACGGGAGACACACGGCGGGUGCUAACGUCCGUCGUGAAGAGGGAAACAACCCAGACCGCCAGCUAAGGUCCCAAAGUCAUGGUUAAGUGGGAAACGAUGUGGGAAGGCACAGACAGCCAGGAUGUUGGCUUAGAAGCAGCCAUCAUUUAAAGAAAGCGUAAUAGCUCACUGGUCGAGUCGGCCUGCGCGGAAGAUGUAACGGGGCUAAACCAUGCACCGAAGCUGCGGCAGCGACACUAUGUGUUGUUGGGUAGGGGAGCGUUCUGUAAGCCUGCGAAGGUGACCUGUGAGGGUUGCUGGAGGUAUCAGAAGUGCGAAUGCUGACAUAAGUAACGAUAAAGCGGGUGAAAAGCCCGCUCGCCGGAAGACCAAGGGUUCCUGUCCAACGUUAAUCGGGGCAGGGUGAGUCGACCCCUAAGGCGAGGCCGAAAGGCGUAGUCGAUGGGAAACAGGUUAAUAUUCCUGUACUUGGUGUUACUGCGAAGGGGGGACGGAGAAGGCUAUGUUAGCCGGGCGACGGUUGUCCCGGUUUAAGCAUGUAGGCUGGUUAUCCAGGCAAAUCCGGAUAAUCAAGGCUGAGGUGUGAUGACGAGGCACUACGGUGCUGAAGUAACAAAUGCCCUGCUUCCAGGAAAAGCCUCUAAGCAUCAGGUAACAUCAAAUCGUACCCCAAACCGACACAGGUGGUCAGGUAGAGAAUACCAAGGCGCUUGAGAGAACUCGGGUGAAGGAACUAGGCAAAAUGGUGCCGUAACUUCGGGAGAAGGCACGCUGGUGUGUAGGUGAAGUCCCUGCGGAUGGAGCUGAGACCAGUCGAAGAUACCAGCUGGCUGCAACUGUUUAUUAAAAACACAGCACUGUGCAAACACGAAAGUGGACGUAUACGGUGUGACGCCUGCCCGGUGCCGGAAGGUUAAUUGAUGGGGUUAUCCGUAAGGAGAAGCUCUUGAUCGAAGCCCCGGUAAACGGCGGCCGUAACUAUAACGGUCCUAAGGUAGCGAAAUUCCUUGUCGGGUAAGUUCCGACCUGCACGAAUGGCGUAAUGAUGGCCAGGCUGUCUCCACCCGAGACUCAGUGAAAUUGAACUCGCUGUGAAGAUGCAGUGUACCCGCGGCAAGACGGAAAGACCCGUGAACCUUUACUAUAGCUUGACACUGAACAUUGAGCCUUGAUGUGUAGGAUAGGUGGGAGGCUUUGAAGCGUGGACGCCAGUCUGCGUGGAGCCAACCUUGAAAUACCACCCUUUAAUGUUUGAUGUUCUAACGUUGGCCCCUUACCGGGGUUGCGGACAGUGUCUGGUGGGUAGUUUGACUGGGGCGGUCUCCUCCCAAAGCGUAACGGAGGAGCACGAAGGUUAGCUAAUCCUGGUCGGACAUCAGGAGGUUAGUGCAAUGGCAUAAGCUAGCUUGACUGCGAGCGUGACGGCGCGAGCAGGUGCGAAAGCAGGUCAUAGUGAUCCGGUGGUUCUGAAUGGAAGGGCCAUCGCUCAACGGAUAAAAGGUACUCCGGGGAUAACAGGCUGAUACCGCCCAAGAGUUCAUAUCGACGGCGGUGUUUGGCACCUCGAUGUCGGCUCAUCACAUCCUGGGGCUGAAGUAGGUCCCAAGGGUAUGGCUGUUCGCCAUUUAAAGUGGUACGCGAGCUGGGUUUAGAACGUCGUGAGACAGUUCGGUCCCUAUCUGCCGUGGGCGCUGGAGAAUUGAGGGGGGCUGCUCCUAGUACGAGAGGACCGGAGUGGACGCAUCACUGGUGUUCGGGUUGUCAUGCCAAUGGCACUGCCCGGUAGCUAAAUGCGGAAGAGAUAAGUGCUGAAAGCAUCUAAGCACGAAACUUGCCCCGAGAUGAGUUCUCCCUGAGACUUUAAGUCUCCUGAAGGAACGUUGAAGACGACGACGUUGAUAGGCCGGGUGUGUAAGCGCAGCGAUGCGUUGAGCUAACCGGUACUAAUGAACCGUGAGGCUUAACCUU